GACGAACGCUGGCGGCGUGCUUAACACAUGCAAGUCGAGCGGUAAGGCCUCUUCGGGGGUACACGAGCGGCGAACGGGUGAGUAACACGUGGGUGACCUGCCCUCAGCUCUGGGAUAAGCCUGGUAAACUGGGUCUAAUACCUGAUAUGACCUUUCCUCGCAUGGGGUUUGGUGGAAAGUUUUUUCGGCUGGGGAUGGGCCCGCGGCCUAUCAGCUUGUUGGUGGGGUGAUGGCCUACCAAGGCGACGACGGGUAGCCGGCCUGAGAGGGCGACCGGCCAGACUGGGACUGAGACACGGCCCAGAUUCCUACGGGAGGCAGCAGUGGGGAAUAUUGAGCAAUGGGCGGAAGACUGACGAAGCGACGCCGCGUGGGGGAUGACGGCCUUCGGGUUGUAAACCUCUUUCGACCCCGACGAAUUUGGACGGUAGGGGUAGAAGAAGCACCGGCCAACUACGUG
rnacentral:rRNA from 1 species